UGUCUUAAGCUCUUUUCUUUUAAUAACACCAGUUGCAUUUUCUAAAAAUAGGGUGCAGUCAUAUGCAUAAAGCGGAUGUAUGACAGGGAUUGCCACUCGGUCUACUUGAAAACAAACCUCUUCUUGUAUUUAUUGAGGCCAAUUCCUACAGAUAUCUUUUAAAUACAUUCAUACAAAGAACAUAAAGUCAAGGGGCAAGUGGGUUACCCUGCCGAAGUCCCCUCGAGCUCUUUCAACUUCCGGGGGGGUUCUCCAAUGUUCAGUGGGCAUUUUCACACACUCUAUAAUACGGUAGAAAAAACCCCAGCUUCUUUAAGGUUUCCUCAAUGAAAACCCAUUCUAUCUGAUAUCAUAUGCUUGUCUAAUAUCCAUCCUUAUAUGCUUGUCUAAUAUCUUUAUCCUUGGCCUUUUCUUUAUGCAAAACAUGAACCAGCUCUUGUGCAAGUAUUGCUUGAUGGUGGAGCCUUCCGUCCCAGAGCAAACCCGCUUAGAGGAAUAAAUCCGUGGAAGCACCCCGUUAGUCAUAAUCUUGGAAAUGGCCAACUACUUGGGGACGAAAUUGUGAUAAGCGAAAGAAAGACACAGCUUACCUAUCUUCUUUUGGGAUAAGGGCCAUGAAGGUAUGAUUUAGACCUUAACUCUAGGCAUAUGGUCCCAGA
rnacentral:lncRNA from 1 species